CUUCUCUCAGCCAGGCAGUGGUCCCACCAUCCGCAAACCCAGCCCUUCCUAGUCAGCAGACUCAGGCCGCUUACCCAAAUACAAUGGUCAGUUCCGUUCAAGGAAACACAUAUCCCAGCCAGGCGCCAGUAUAUAGUCCUCCUCCUGCCGCUACUGCUGCUGCUGCAACUGCCGAUGUCACUCUGUACCAGAAUGCAGGACCUAAUAUGCCCCAGGUGCCAAACUAUAACUUAACAUCAUCAACUCUGCCUCAGCCCGGAGGCAGCCAACAGCCACCUCAGCCACAGCAACCAUAUUCUCAGAAGGCUCUGCUAUAGGACCCGGUGUUCCUCUUGGUGGCAGAUACCUGCUAAAUGCCACUGACAAUGUUAUGAGAUUCAUUACUAUCUUAAGAUGUGUUUAUCCUCAGCUUAUAGGAAUCUCUCCAGGUCAACAGGUUCAAAUAUUCAAGAAGGUAGAACUCUCCUCAAUUUACACUGACUUUUUAGAGGUUCUUCCCCCCCCGCCCCUGCAGAGGAAUGAAACUACUUACAACAUUUAAUUCCUUUCAUAAUAUGAAAGAAUUGAUACAAGGCUAUUUGUCUCGUAAACCUGGUCUGCAGAAAGUCAAACUUACAAAAACUGUUGUGACAAAUGUUAUGUACAUAUAUUGAUAUGUAACUGCAUUAGUGGCCAUUUUGAAUCACAGUGGUGAUCGUGUGAAUAUAUUUAACACUGUGUUAAAUUAAUUUACGUUGCUAUUUUAUUUUAAUCAUAAACAACUACCAUGUUUCUUAAUGUUUUGUGUAAAUUUAAGGUAAUUAUACUAUCCUUUUAAACUUCAAGAAAACAAAGUUGUUAGCGUAUUUACAUGAAGGCGCAUUAUGUUGUCGUGUGUUUCAGUUUCACAUUAAACUGAACCUUUUACUAAUUGUGAGCUAAAGAGAUAUAUAUAUAUAUGUGUGUGUAUAUAUAUAUAUCUACAUGUCUUUCUGUAGCCUCUGCAUACUACUGGCUGUCAUCACACCAGCGUACAGUAGCUAAAUUUUUGGUGCAAUUAUAGCAAAUGAUAAUGUUCCCUUUUGAACUUUUACAUUUUGGCAUGACAUUUCAGAGUAUUGUGGGACCAUGAGACAAAAUUAAGUACGAUCACAUUCUUUAUUUCUCAUUUUAAAGAAAUGAUGUUGGUUUACCUUUUCCUAGUUGAAGAUAGUAAUUAGGUUUCUAAGCUGUAUACUGUGUUUAUUGGUGGCAGUGACACCAAAGAUAGAGGCAAUGGAUAGAAAUUUUUAAACUGGAAAGAAAACCUGAAUUACACUACAUUUUCGAAGUCUCUUGUAAUUAUUUGGGAUAUCAACAAAAUUUGAUUCGUCUGUCUAAUCCCUUGCUAGUAUUUUAAAUAUGUCUUUAACACAUUGUAUCCUUUAAUUCUUCAUUAAAAUGGAAAUAAGUAGAUGUUUCAAA
rnacentral:lncRNA from 10 species